rnacentral:ncRNA from 1 species
CGCAGUGACACGGGGUGCCCGCCUGGGCUGAGAGAAGACCCGUUGAACCUGAUCUAGUUCGUACUAGCGAAGGGAUGUCGCGAAUGAGUAUU